rnacentral:lncRNA from 1 species
GGCACUUAAAACCUUGAUUAUAAAAUACUUCUACAAAAUUACAAUUUUAUUUAAGGUUAUAAUAGGACAUUAGGCCACCGUUUGGUUCGGGGUUAAGUAAAAACUUGUUAUUCCAGGAAUAGAGUUAAGUUCGGGGUUAAGAUGGGGUUAGAGUAAUUUUGUGUUUGGUUGAGAAUUGGGUUUAGUCCAGGUAUAGAUAAAAUAGUAUUUGGUUGGAGUAGGUGGGAUAAGAAGGAUAGUGGGUAAAAUAGUAUUUUGUUUGGUUGGAGUAGUGGGGUGGGGUGGGGUUAGCUAAUCCCACCCCCGAAAUUGGGUGUUUGGGAAUAAUUUCGGGGUUAAGGAGUUAUUCCACCUCUUAAUCCUGAACCAAAUGGGUGCUAGAGGAGUGGUGCCCCGUGGACAGGGUGCAUACAAUAAUUUCUAAGUAAAAUGGAUUGAUGAUGAAUCUGGGAAAAAGUUGGUAUGUUUCUGUUGUUGUGGCAUCAGCAAGGGAAAUUCCAAUGCAGAAACUUUGAUUAUUCAACUGUUGCAUUUUUCUCCCUAACCGCAGUUAGUGCGUCGGCAGAACAUAAAGUGGCCAAAGCCGAACAGUUUGAAGGAGGCCUGAAGUGCAGCCUCCUUCAGCUGAAACCGGGCCAAACAUGGCCAUAAAUGGGUGUGAUAUACAUAAAUCCUUUCUUCUAGCAAUGUCAUUUAAAAGCGACUCAAUUGGGUGUGCAAGACAAGAUAUUUUCUAUCAAAAAGAGCUUCUUUUCUCUGAUAAAGUAUGUUGGUUUACAUAGCUUUUAAAUUGCUAAUCCUCUAUUCAUCUGACAAUUAUUUAUUGGCAGCUUUUGGUUUUACUUUUAAGCAUGAGUUUCUGGAAGUUGAAAAUGGUAGUCAGUCCUAUUUGAACUUGUGAAAGUAAUGCUUAGGUUGUGUGAUACAUUUUAAUGUUGGAUAUCAAACUCUUUAUUCAAUGUUUACUGGACCGGUUUAAAAUGUUUGCGAAAGUAUAGGCAUCAGUCUUAGCACCUAAUUUCUCCGUUGGAAAUUUGUUGUUUUAGUCUUGCAUUCAACAUCUCUAUGAAGAGAGUCAAUAGUAGCCCUAGAAAUUGGUGCAACUUAGCUAGAAAAUGAUAAUCUUUUUGACAAUACUUUUGAUAAUCCUUCUAUGUCACAGAGAAUAAAUAUUUGCUCUUAUUGGUCUUGAUUACUUAUUAUCCUGAAUGGAAUUUCAGGUAUGCUGUGGAGAAUUACUUGCUCCUUUCAUUUUAAGUGUCAGAUCAAAACACUAGGGAAAUGCUUUUCUAUUUAGCUCUUCUGUUAAGAACUAUAGUUCUUUAUACUAGGCAAACAGUGCUUUUUGUACAGAGCUAUCUAAGCUGGACUGGCCAUCAUAAAUUAUGAAUGAUGCUGUUAAUUAUGUAUAGCACAAAUUUCAAUUCACAUUUGUCUCCAUCUUGCUGGAAGUCUCAUUGAGGCUAUGGGAUUGCAAUACGGAAGUAAAAUUUGCAUGAAAUAUAUGCUCGUGAUUAUUGUAGGGCUGAGUUUCAAAACAGCAUAUAUGAAAAAUUUCAAUUUAUUCCAAUAAAAUAUAAAACUGUUUUUCUUUUCAUUUCAUAAUGCAGGUCGCACUGGUGAUAGAACCUAAAGAUAAGGAAUCUACCUCGAUGUACAAGCAAGCUCUAGACCUACUUACUCAAGCUUUAGAAGUCUGGCCAAAUGCCAAUGUUAAGUUCAAUUAUUUGGAGAAGUUGCUUGGAAAUCUAACACCUUCCCAGUCUAAGGACCCAGCAACGGCUCUUGCUCAGGGCCUUGAUGUCAUGAACAAAGUUUUGGAGAAGCAGCCCCGUCUUUUCAUCCGGAAUAACAUUAAUCACAUUUCUCAGGUAUGCUAGAUUUGCUGUACUCUUGUGCUAUACAUUAAUGAAGUAAUAAUGAGCUAGUCACUUCAUUCAUUUGGGAAAUUUUAUAUUUUUAGAUACUAGAGCCCUGCUUCAAUAAUAAGAUGAUGGAUGCUGGAAAGUCGCUUUGUUCCUUACUGAAAAUGGUCGUCAGUGCUUUUCCGGUUGAAGCUACUACUACGCCGCAGGAAGUAAAGAUGUUAUAUCAAAGAGUUGCCGAGCUCAUUCAAAAGCAUCUGGCUGCUGUGACAACUCCUCAGAUAUCACUUGAAGUUAGCAAUGCCAACUCUAUCAUAAGCUUUUCUCUUUUUAUUCUUAAAUCCCUUGCAGAAGUACAGAAGAACUUUGUUGAUCCGUUCAUUCCUUUACUGCUCCGAGUCCUCCAACGCCUUGCACGAGACAUGGGAUCUUCUGCUGGUUCUCAUAUUAGACAAGUAUGGCUUUUAUCUACUUUGUGGAGUGUAUUAAUUUUCUUCUGGUAGAAUUUUUUUUUUUUUUUUUUUGGUUCUGGUUCCUUUUCCUGUGGUAGUAUGUAAUUUCACUUCUCAAUAUUUAUGUUAUGUGACUUAACAAAUUACUUGUUUCUUUUUCCUUGCGUAACUAAUGGUUUACAUAAGUAAAUUGUUAAAGUUGCCUAAUUGCUGUCUAGUGAUGUAUGGAUUUCCCUGUUCGAUAUUUUCUCUCCUGAUAUCGUAAUCACAAUGUGCUUUAAAUAAUGUCAUGACUUUAACGUUGUUUCUCCACUUCAUUAGUAGCUGUUCGCAGUAUUGGGGUUUCUUUAUGAUGCCUGAGCUUAUAUUAACAUUUUUUUUACAUUCCUUAAUCAUCUAUAAUGAUUAAAUUUUUUUUUCCCCUGUAUCGUUGCAUAGAUCUUAUGUGUUUUUUAUUUCCAUUUUCCUUUUUUAGGCGCAGAGGGCUGAUAUAGAUUCCUCAGCCAGUUCACGUGCCACAGCUGACUCUUCUACCAUCAUUUCUAACAUGAAAUGCCUCUUACAACUAAUUAGCGAAAGGGUCAUGCAAUCAGCUGAAUAUAAACGGCAAAUAGGCCAAAUUCUUCAUGCUCUUCUUUCAGAGAAAGGGACAGACACCAGUGUGCUUUUGUGCAUACUCGAUACAGUAAAGAAAUGGAUUGAGGAUGACUAUAAGCUUGCUCCUUCUGGUGCUUCAUCUGCAACUCUUACUCAGAAGGAGAUAGUAUCUUAUCUUCAGAAGCUAUCACUAGUUGACAGGAAAAACUUCACUCCUGCUGCACUAGAAGAGUGGGAUGAGAAGUAUUUGCAGCUUCUAUAUGGAGUUUGUGCCGAUUCAACCAAGUAAGUGCUUAGCUUAUUGCAAUAGAUUUUUAUUGGGUGUACAUACAAGCCUUACCUGAAUCAUAGCAUUAUGAAAGGCUACCUAACUAGUAGAAUUUUGAUUUCGCUCCGCUCCCUCAGCUUCUAUUGCUUUUGAACUUUUGGGAAUUCCAUCAAAUUCUGUUGGAGCUUAGAGGUCUGACAAAAAAUUAUAUUUAACAUUCUUUAUCAAGUUAGAGAAUAUUUUGUUAGAUAAAGGUCACUUAAUAUUCAGUCAAAAAAGAUAGAAAUACAUUGUUUUUUUUUUUAACAAGGUCAGAUGGUUGUUUGAAGAUGGAUUGUUGUUCAAUUAGAAAAGGGUUGGUGCUUCUAGGUUUUUAGCCCUUGGAUCAAGGCUUGUGGAGUUAGGAUGAUAUCAAUCCUCCUGGGUUUAAUGGUGAUUGGUAGGAUAUCAUGGAUCCAAAGAAGGUUUGAUCUAAUGGUGAAAAAGUUAGAACCACGAAAUGGGUUUUACUUCUAGAUGUAUUCUAGCUCACCACUGUCACUUCCCCCUCCCUCGGCGGCCAGAGAGACUUCUAUAUGACUAUGAGUACGGUCAACUUCAUACUCAUAAGUCUUCGAUGAUAGAGCUUUCAAAUCGACGAUCUAUACUGUUUGACAUGAUUUAGAGCAUCCAAACCUUCUAGAAAUCAAAUUUCAAGAUUUUUUCACGUCAUUUACCUUACGAUCAAAAGGCCUCUAAAUUUACAAUUUUAGCAGUCGAUACGAGACAUUUUUACAUUUAAUAGUAUGGUAUAAUUGGCUUGAUUGAAUGUUUUAUAGAAAAUUCUAUUCCCUAUCUAUAUCGAGAUCAGUAACUCUCAUCUUAAAUCAAAGAUUCUUAUAUUUUUAGAAUAUCAAUUGGUUUGACUAUUCAAUGUAUCCACUUGAUGGACUUGAUAAUUAUCUUUGUAAAACAUGAAAUUCGGUUUGAGGAUACUUCAAAUGCUCUAAACAAGGAUUUGAAUGCCUAUUGGCACAAGCCGUAUCUACCAUACCGUAUCGUGCCAUUAAGAUAUAAGUACGAUGCAAUUCCCGUACCGAUGACAUGACUUAGAACUCUCUUUUUUAAAAAUUAGUAAGUAUUUUCUCAAUAAAGUUCAAAAGAUUUGAUAAAAAUGUAUAAUAAACAAUUAGGAUAUUUUGCUGCUAAAGAAAAUAAAUAUUGUAUGUCAUUUUAUGUCGGCACACAUUUUUUGUGACCGGUACGCAUCGGCAUAGCCCGGCACGCACCAUGCCGUAUCUUGCUUGCAAGUUUUCGGUAUGACCUCAUGCCAUGAUACAUAAAUCCCUAGAUCUAGAUCAUAUUUAACAAUUUUAUUCUCCGUACUUCAAAGGUUCCAUCCAAAAUGACUUAUCAGUACGAAAGCCUUUGUACUCAUAAGAGUAUGGUAGCUCUACUUUCUCUCUCUCUCUCUCUCUCUCUAUUACUUCUAAAGUACGUAAAUAGUGCAUGGUAUAGACUUUUGGGCUCUUCGGCCCAUGCUAGUGCAACCACCAUAUAGUAAACCAUAGAUAUCCAAGGGUUUAAAAAGUUGGACUAUUCAUGUGCUAUUGGAAAUCUAGCUAGGCCAUAUAUAUAUAGAGAGAGAGAGAGAGAGAGAGAGAGGAGGGAGGAGGGAGGGACGGAGGGAGGGGAGACUAUAUACGCGCGAGAGAGAGAGAGAGAGAGAGAGAGAGAGAGAGAGAGAGAGAGAGAGUAUAUAUGAGAGAGAGAGAGAGAGACUAUAUGCUUUUAGAAGUAUGGAGGCUUUCGUGCUUUCACUUUGUUUCGAUGAGGAGACAUCUGAAUCAACGAUCGGCUCCAUUAGACUUGAUCUACACUAUUUGAAAUAUAUUGAAACUUAAUUUCGUGAUUUUUCGAUAUCUGCUAUAUUGUGAUCGAAAGGUCCAAAAUGAAAGUUUGAAAAUAAAAAUCACAUAAAAGCAAUGAUAGAAGACAAAUUUUAGACCAAACGUACUAAUAUUACUUUAGAUAGUAAGAUUUUUUUUUUAAAUUUCACGCAAUUUGGAUAAUUUUACACCGUUAAACUUGUAAUUGCCUCAUAUUGACCAUUAAAAUAGAUGAAUUUUGAGACCUUUCUAUCACAAGGUCAAUGAUAUCGAGAAGUCAUGAAAUUUAGUUUCUAGAUAUUCCAAAAAGUGUAGAUCAAGUCUCACUGAGCUAAUUGUUGAUUCAAAAGUCCCAUUAUUGAAAACAAAGUGGAAGUACGGAAGCCUCCACGCUUCUAAAAGCAUAGUAGCCUCUCUCUCUCUCUCUCUCUCUCUCUCUCUCUCUCUCUCUAUAUAUAUAUAUAUAUAUAUAUAUAUAUAUAUAUUGCUUUCUCACUUUCUCAGGGAAAAGGUCUGUGUGAUUUUACCUUGUAAUAUUGAGUAUAUUAAUAUUUUUGCUUGUCUUAUAACUUUUAUGCUACCAGGUUUCCAUUGACCCUUCGCCAAGAAGUAUUUCAAAAGGUUGAAAGGCAAUUCAUGCUUGGGCUACGAGCGAAGGAUCCAGAAGUUAGACAGCGGUUCUUCAUGCUUUACCAUGAAUCCCUUGGAAAAACCUUAUUUGCGAGGCUUCAGUUUAUCAUUCAAAUUCAGGACUGGGAAGCUGUAAGUGAUGUUUUCUGGCUGAAGCAGGGUCUUGAUCUUAUCUUGGCUAUCUUAGUAGAGAAUGAGCCGAUCACUCUUGCCCCAAAUUCCGCACGAGUACCUCCACUAAUGGUACGGGGAGUUGGUCCGGAACGUUCGCCAAUGCAGCAGCAGCAGCAGGCAACUGAUCCAGCAGAUUGUUCAGACGGUGCUUCACUUUCAUUUGACUCUCUUACAGCAAAGCAUGCCCAAUUCUUAACUGAGAUGUGCAAGCUUCAGGUGAGUUGGCUCUUCUCUGAAUUUAUGCCACAAUAAAUACUUCAAGGUAGGGAAAAGAAAAGAGGAUUUUACAUAUAAUUGCAAAAUCUGAAUUCUACAUAUAAUUGCAAAAUCUGUAAAGUGCAGCUUAGAAAAAAUUACCUCAUCUUAAGUUGGUGAGUCAUCCAAUAUAUUUGGGUGAGCUGGUUUUGUAUUACAAGAAUAGGAUUGGACAGGGUUGGAUUGGAUUGGAUUGGAUAUAUACAAUUCUAAUCUUACGUUAGGUGAAACAGUGGUUUAGGGAUUAUAUAAACUAAUUCUAUUCCUAUGUUUGGUGUACUGAGAGAGAAUAUGGAUUGGACUAUUUUUUAUGAACUCUCCCUCUUACCGUCCUAUCCAGCUCCCCCCUGCCCCUAUCCCUCACUCAUUGGCAAUGGUAGCAAAGCCUAUGCCAACUUCUUAGUAAAUGCUGCUUAUUCUCACUGGAUUCCGCAAAUCUUGUCUAUUAUCUUUUUUGUAAAAUUGUAGAAUAACCCUCAAUUAUUGAAAAUUGUGAAACAGAUCCCUUAGGUUUUACCUUUUUUUAUUGGAAUCCUCUCAAUUUUCUAAUUAUUUGAAAUAAAUGAUUUUAGGCAGAAAAAUUUGAGAGUUCUCUCAAAUCAAUAAAUAAUUUUAUCAAAUGUAUUAACUCUAAUUUUGUUAGUAAAUAAAAUUAAACUAAUUAAAGUUUAAUAAUUAACUAUAACAAUUUAAAUAAGAAAAUUUAGAAGUUGAGAGGGAGAGCAUCUUAAUUAAAAAAAAAAGUUCAGGGGUCUAUCUAAAUUUACUUAUGUUCUCCAUAAAUUUUUACCUAUCCUUUUCGGAGUUUUUUGGGCUACUAAGCCUACAACACCUUUUAAAUAUAAAAAUAGGUAUCCAAAUUUUUAUUUAUAAAUAUAGGUUGAUAAACGCAGUGAAUCAUUUACCGCUUUCUAAAAGCGGCGAAUGAUUCACCGCUUUUACCCUAAUUUAUAUAUUUCCUACAUCCAAAUUUCAAAAGAUGUAUGGUAUUAAACACUACAAAUAGCUUUAAUUCUUUGAAGAAAGCGGUGAAUGAAUUAUCGCAUUUAGAAAGUGGCAAUUCAUUCACCGUAUAGGCCUAGUUUUGUAAAUAAAUUUUGUAGAGGACUAUUUUAUAAUUAUAGUAUUUUCGAAGUCUAUUAAUAAAAAAAAUUCAUCCUUUUCUCUCCUAAAUUCUCGUUCUUGUCACCUUCUCUUCCCUCUGCUUCUUCUUCUUCUUCUGCUUGUCUCCUCCCGCCAUGGAUGAUGAAGUGAGGGGGGAGGACAAAGCGAGUCGGGGAGAGCGAUAGAGAGAGAGAGAUCACUGCAUCUUAGGUUAGGGUUUGGGAGGAGUCAGGGAGAGCGUUGUGAGGGAUCGUGUUGGGUGAGAGGAUUGGGUUAUUCCAAUCCCAUCUAAUCCCCUCUGUUUCGAUGGGAUGAGUCAGUCCCAUGUGAGCUGGCCAAAUUGACUGGACCGGGUUUGCGUAUCCAAUCUGGUAUAAGUCCAAACAUCGGAUCAGUUUAAGUUUGGAAUUAUUAUCAAUCCAAUCCCAAUCCCACGCUCCAAACAUGCCCUUAGGGUAUGUGCAAACAACUAAGCUUUUGAAGGGCAUAUCUGAAAAUUCAGAUUUUGCAGGUAUUAUGUAUAUAAAUAGAUAAUUUCUAGGGGUACAUGUGUCAUUAUCUCAAUAAUGAACAGAAACACUUCAGGCUGACCUUUUAAAUUAAUCCACCAUACGUACUGGCUAAAGCUGUAUGCUAUUCUCUCAUGUUUGCAGGUUGCCGAUCUUGUGAUUCCCUUGAGGGAACUUGCAUAUACAGAUGCCAAUGUUGCAUACCACAUCUGGGUCUUAGUCUUCCCUAUUGUUUGGGUUACUCUACAGAAAGAAGAACAAGUGGCAUUGGCUAAGCCAAUGAUUGCUCUUUUGUCGAAAGAUUACCACAAAAGGCAGCAAGGAAGCAGACCUAAUGUCGUGCAAGCUCUUCUCGAAGGGCUUCACCUGAGCCACCCUCAACCUCGAAUGCCAAGUGAGCUCAUCAAAUACAUAGGUAAAACAUUUAAUGCAUGGCAUAUCUCCCUGGCGCUUCUGGAGAACCACGUUAUGCUCUUCAUGAAUGAGGCCAAAUGUUCUGAAUCACUAGCUGAGCUUUAUCGGCUUCUUAAUGAAGAAGACAUGAGGUGUGGGUUAUGGAAGAGAAGAUCGAUCACUGCCGAAACAAGAGCUGGGCUUUCGCUAGUCCAGCAUGGUUAUUGGCAGCGAGCUCAAAGUCUCUUCUAUCAGGCGAUGAUCAAGGCAACACAGGGCACGUAUAAUAACACUGUUCCGAAAGCAGAAAUGUGCCUUUGGGAAGAGCAGUGGCUUUCCUGCGCAUCUCAGUUAAGCCAGUGGGAUGUCUUGGCUGAUUUUGGCAAAAGUGUGGAAAAUUAUGAAAUUUUGCUCGAUUGCCUUUGGAAAGUACCUGACUGGGCAUAUAUGAAGGAGAAUGUGAUCCCUAAAGCUCAGGUUGAGGAGACACCUAAGUUGCGUUUAGUGCAGGCCUUCUUUUCUCUUCACGAUCGAAAUGCCAAUGGUGUUGGCGACAUAGUUUCAAAGGGUGUUGAGCUUGCGCUAGAAAAUUGGUGGCAAUUGCCUGAAAUGUCUGUCCAGUCAAGAAUGCCUCUACUACAACAGUUUCAGCAGCUAGUUGAAGUACAAGAGUCAGCUAGAAUACUUGUGGAUAUUGCAAAUGGGAACAAACAACCUUCAGGAAAUUCGGGUUCCAAUUCUCACAAUGCCUUCGCUGAUCUCAAGGAUAUCCUCGAGACAUGGAGACUACGGACUCCGAAUGAGUGGGAUAAUAUGACUAUCUGGUAUGAUCUACUCCAAUGGAGGAAUGAGAUGUACAAUGCUGUAAUAGAUGCAUUUAAGGACUAUGCUCAAACAAAUCCUCAACUUCAUCAUCUGGGUUAUCGAGACAAGGCUUGGAAUGUGAAUAAGCUCGCCCACAUAGCUCGCAAGCAAGGACUCCAUGAUGUCUGUGUAUCUAUACUUGAUAAGAUGUAUGGACAUUCUACCAUGGAAGUUCAGGUCAUUAUUCAUUUAUGUCAUCCUUAUUCCACUAUUAGAUUUCAUUCGAUUAGUUCCUGUUGUAUUUAUGUUUGCCAUCUGCUUACAGGAAGCUUUUGUUAAAAUAAGAGAACAAGCGAAGGCUUAUUUGGAAAUGAAAGGCGAACUCAUUAGUGGGCUUACUUUAAUUAACAAUACAAAUCUUGACUACUUCCCUGUGAAGCAUAAAGCAGAAAUAUUUCGUCUCAAAGGCGACUUUUUGCUAAAGAUGAAUGAUUGUGAGAAUGCAAAUAUUGCUUAUUCCAAUGCAAUAAGCCUUUACAAACAUUUGCCAAAAGGGUGGAUCAGCUGGGGAAACUAUUGCGAUAUGGUAUGUUGCAAUUUGUCCUACCUAAACAAUUUCUUCAUGUACUUCAAGAAUAGUUUAGGUAUACAAGUAUCUCCUUUUUGCAGAUUUAUAAAGAAACACAUGAAGAGGUAUGGUUGGAAUAUGCCGUCAGCUGCUUCUUCCAAGGCAUCAAGUAUGGCGUGUCAAACUCAAGGGGCCAUCUAGCUCGAAUUUUAUAUCUUCUUAGCUUUGAUACGCCGAAUGAAACCGUGGGAAGGGCAUUGGAUAAAUAUCUUGACCAAUUGCCUCAUUGGGUUUGGCUUUCAUGGAUACCACAGCUACUGCUCUCCUUGCAGCGAAGUGAAGCACCGCACUGCAAGCUAGUUCUUUUAAAGAUUGCUCAAGUUUAUCCACAGGUACAUAAAAUUAUCCGGAGGUUGCGUCGUUGUCUGCUUAUUAUCUCCUAUUUAAAAAAACUAAUACCCCUCUUUUGUAGGCCUUAUAUUAUUGGCUACGCACGUAUUUAAUGGAGCGACGUGAUGUUACUCAUAAAGCUGAAUAUGGAAGAAAUUUUGCCCUGGCCCAACGCAUGCAGCAAGCUGCAUCAGUAAACAGUGCUGGCUCUCAAAACUUGGUUGAUGGGAAUGCCAGAGCCCCUAAUCAUCUUAGCAGCGGUAACUUAACGCCUGAAAGCCAGGUUCACCAAGGAGGGGCCCAGUCGGCAGGUGGUUCUAGCGGCCCUCAUGAAGGAGGGAACUCUCAAGGGCAAGAGACUGAGAGGUCUGCGGCUGAAGGAGGUGCUGGUACUACUAGCCAUGAUCAACCUCCACAGAGCUCAGUUGCUUCAGAAGGAAGCCAAAUUCCUUUGAGACGGAGUGGCGGCGCUGGUGCUCUUUCUUGGGUUGCUGCUGCUGCUAGUGCCUUCGAGGCUGCGAAGGACAUAAUGGAGGCUCUUAGAAACAAGCACAAUAAUUUGGCUAACGAGCUUGAGGUAAGAAAUUGCAUGGCAGUUGCUAACUACCGCUGCAAGAACAGAAUGCAAACGAUUUUUCCAGAUUUGUUUAUAAGAUAGGUCAUCAUUUUUGCUUGUUUCCUAUUUAGUAUCUUGUAGCAUGUGUGUAAAGUCCAGGUAUUAGCUGUGCAAAUUUGUAGAGGAUGAAUGUGGAACUUGUAGGAGUCUGACUAGCUGAAAUAAGAUGUAUCCUAACUUGUUAUAGUCAUUAAUUAAUUGAGAGGAGUUGGGGUAUCCUAUUGAGCUAUAAUUACUGUUUUUGAGGUUAAUAAGCUUCUGUCCAGAAGUUCUUGGCCUAUAAUUUAUAUACAAGAGAUCUGUUAACUUCUGGUCUAUAUUUUUCUAAUAAAGAAGAUCUAUUCUUUGUCAUUUGCCUAACAGUUUUUGCUUGGCCGGAAAUUAUUGUCUGUUUCCUGUACUAAAUAACUUGGUUAAGCUUUUAUUCUUACAGAGUUUUCUUUUUAUUUCUCUUUUCCUCCAGUAUUUACUUUCUGAAAUUGGUUCGAGAUUUGUCACUCUUCCUGAGGAACGGCUCUUGGCUGUGGUCAAUGCAUUGCUGCACCGAUGCUACAAGUAUCCAACAGCCACCACUGGUGAGGUCCCACAAUCUCUGAAGAAGGAGCUCUCUGGCGUUUGCCGAGCCUGUUUUUCACAAGAUGCCGUGAACAAGCAUGUCGACUUCGUGAAGGAAUAUAAGCAGGACUUUGAGCGUGAUCUCGAUCCUGAAAGCACAGCUACUUUCCCAGCUACUCUGGCUGAAUUGACGGAACGAUUAAAGCACUGGAAGAAUGUUCUCCAGAGCAAUGUUGAAGACAGGUUCCCUGCUGUCUUGAAACUCGAAGAAGAGAGUAAAGUAUUGCGUGAUUUUCAUGUGGUUGAUGUGGAGGUUCCGGGACAGUAUUUCACUGACCAGGUCUAGUCAAAAUAGUCUUCAUCAGUAUUCUUUCAUAUACCCAUGGAAAAUCAUCUAGUUAUGUAUAUAAUUCCAUAUAGAAUAUGGAUAGACAAAUAGGCUCUUAGAUAACUUUUAACUUCUUAAAUGCACCUUUCUUCUCACCAAAUUGUUGAUCUUUUAAAAAGUUCUUUCAAGUCCACAUAACCAACACUCUCCAAGGAUUGGAUGUCUCUCUGACUUAAGGGUAUUUUGUAAGAAACUACAUUUGAGGGGCAUACAUGAAAAUUCUCUAUUUUACUGGUGCUUGUUUGCAACUAAAUGAUAUUGUGCUGAUAUACUCGUAUAUGCAAAGUCCCUUUUUGGGCUGUUGAAAUUGUCUUCGAAGUAUAUAUUCUGAUUUAUGACUGUACUUCCCAGGAAGUUGCACCUGACCAUACCAUAAAGUUAGACAGAGUAGGCCCGGAUAUUCCAAUUGUACGGAGACAUGGGAGUAGCUUCCGGCGAUUGACGCUCAUAGGCUCUGAUGGUUCUCAGCGACAUUUUAUUGUUCAGACCUCCUUAACUCCGAAUGCUAGAAGUGAUGAACGUAUGCUCCAGCUAUUCCGGGUGCUGAACAAGAUGUUUGAUAAACACAAGGAAGCAAGGCGGCGCCAUUUGACUAUCCACACUCCAAUAAUAAUUCCUGUUUGGUCACAGGUGAAGUGAAAUUGUCUUUUCUUUUCUCCGUUUCUCUUUUACUGCUAAACGUUAGCUUUUGGUUUAUUGUUUCCCUGUCUUCUAAGUAGUAGCUUUUGCAAAACCAUCUAAGUAUAUAAUUUUUCAGAAUCUUAAAUUUUUUAUGUCCUUUGUAGACUUGAUUCCUCACAUACACACAGAUGCACAAGAAUACAAACAUAUACACACAUUAAAAGCUUUUUCAAUAUGUAAUCAUCUUCCCCUAUGAGUUGGAUUGCUCCCUGCCACUUCUUUUGGGUAAGAAGCUUCUUUCUUUGAGGGGUAUAUAGGUUCAGGUUUUACAGGAGAUAUUUUCAAGAAGAUGAUUUUGGCAGUAUAUAUUUGCAAAAUCCUGUUAGCGUUUCUCUCGUCCUCCUGUCUGUUAAAGUUAUCGAAUAGCAAACUAUUUUGUUCAGGUUCGGAUGGUGGAGGAUGAUGUGAUGUAUAGCACAUUCCUCGAGGUGUACGAGAUUAAUUGUGCACGCCACAACCGGGAAGCUGAUACGCCUAUCACUAAUUUCAAGGAACAGCUCAACCAAGCCAUCUCAGGGCAAUACCCACCUGAAGAAAUAGUAAAUCUACGUCUACAGGCGUAUAACGAAAUAACAAAGAAUGUUGUCAAUGACAAUGUCUUCUCUCAGUACAUGUACAAAACUCUACCAAGUGGGAACCACCUCUGGACCUUCAAGAAGCAAUUUGCCAUCCAGCUGGCACUUUCAUGCUUUAUGUCGUACAUGCUGCAGAUUGGUGGAAGGUCCCCAAACAAGAUCCUGUUUGCUAAGAACACUGGAAAGAUAUUCCAGACUGAUUUUCAUCCAGGUAUUGUUUAGUAAGCAUAGUAUGUUUAUCCUAGUGGAGCCCUUAUUUCCAAUCUUUAGCAGAUUUUUCAUUUUAUUUUUUAUUUUUUUUGUCAGCUUAUGAUCCGAAUGGAAUGAUUGAGUUCAACGAACCAGUUCCGUUUAGAUUGACGCGUAACAUGCAAGCUUUCUUUUCACAUUUUGGCGUCGAGGGCCUUAUUGUCUCUGCCAUGUGUGCUGCAGCUCAGUCUGUAGUUUCACCUAAAGUGAGUCGUCUUCUUACCUGAUCAUAAAUAAUAUCUUUUGGUGGUAAUAAAAUAUAAGAGCUAGUUUAGAGGUGAAGAGUCUUGGAUUUGUAACCACUUCGUUGCAGCUUUGGUUCUUGUGAGUAGCUGCUUUCUUGAAGUAGUUUACGGUUGCAAAUCCCUGUUCGUAACCUGUGUGGUGUGGAACAUCAAGCUUGAUUGAAAUAACAACACCGAAUGUGGUCUAUUGGAUAUCUGAUUCUACCUGUGGCAUGCGAUUAUGAGACACGAAUAUCACAACUUUGAUUUUAAUCAUCAUACCAAGCAAAAGCAGAAACAAAAAAAGCCAGUAGCUGAUAAUUUAGUUGAUGAUGGUAGUAGAUGGAUGGGCAUGUUAUGUUGUUUCUAAAUCAUUUGUUGGUGUUUAAUAUUUAUGAAAUUUCCUGCCUACAAAAGAUGUAAUUAACUCAUACGGGCUUUUGUCUAUUUUGCAGCAAACUCAACACAUCUGGUAUCACCUAGCCAUGUUCUUCCGAGAUGAAUUACUAUCUUGGUCCUGGAGGAGGCCACUUGGUAUCCCCUCUGUACCGGUCGCUGCGGGAAUGAUCAACCCUCUGGACUUUGAACAGAAAGUGACGACUAAUGUGGAGCACGUUAUCAGCCGGAUCAAAGGAAUAGCACCACAGGUUCUCUCGGAAGGGGUAGUGUUUCUUCUCUCUCUCUCUCUCUCUCUCUCUCUCUCUUUCUCUAAAUCUUUAUAUUUAAUCAUAGUUCAUCUAAUUGUGUAUCUAGAUGAUAUUUCCAUAAAUCUACUUGUUGCUCGAAAUAAAUGACUGAUAAGUGCAUUCAUCUGUAAUUUACGAGUUGUAUUUUGUGUAGAAGUGGGAAUGAAUAAUCCUUCCCCUCCUUUCUUACUCCUAAAAAGCACUUCAUUCUUUUGACAAAAGAUUGUUGGGUGGGCAUUUCAUAUCGGGAUUCAUAUUUUAAACAUUGUUGGUAAUAUUUAUAGGUCUUGAAGCCUGAAAUAGUAGGAGGAAACGUGUAAGAUUUGGUGGACGAAGAAGAUAUUACUAUUAUUUUUUCCCCUAGUUUUUAGUGUCACCGUAUUUUGGAUCCAACUCUCUAAGUAGCGUUAAUCCAGCUUUCAAGUUAUUCAGUCUUUUGUAUCAUUUUGACAUAGAUUUCCUUCCCUUGUAACAACACAGGAAGAGAAUGCGACGGAACCGCCACAGUCGGUACAAAGAGGCGUGACGGAACUGGUGGAAGCGGCAUUGUCCCCCAGGAACUUGUGCAUGAUGGACCCGACUUGGCACCCGUGGUUCUAGCUUUUGCCUAAUUUACUUAAAUCACCCUCUUUUCUGCUUAAGCUUUCCUCGUAAAUAUUUGUACAUAACAAGAAGCUAACAACAAACAAACGGGAUUACCGUAGUUUUAAGGGUAACGUAAUCGGGCGCCGUCCAAAAUUUUGUACAAAAGUAGGUACAAGAGGAUGAUGCUAUUUAUGUGUGUUCUAUGACGGAUGUUAAUCAAUUAUUAUUAUUAUUUAUCACAUGAUUUUGCCUGCUUCCCUGUGUUUCCUCCCCGUUUCCUCUUCCUGUGUUUAGUGCCGAAAAUUGAGGCGAAUUCGAAAUUAGUUUGUGCAGUUGUGUGUAAAAUAUGUGCUGUGUCCACGGCCUUCCUCUUGCCGCAGCAUUGUCGGUAUCCCGUACUUGAGUUCAAUUCAAUUCCAAGUAUUACUGCUGUCUCCGCACGCGGAUAAGUUUGUGCUGACUGGGCCUUCAUAUUAAAGAGUGAGGGUGUGUGUCGAGCCGUGCCAGACGUGUCAACUGUGACACGUCGUGGACACGCCGGCUUGCCCUACUUGAGGUACGUGGGAAUUCUGGAUUCGACAAUUGUCUUCUUCUUCGCAUGGUUUCAUUGGCUGACAGCUGCUACUGCUAGAAAGUUUGGGUGGUGAAUGGUGAUGUCCUCAAACAAGGGGAAUUGCUUUGCUUUCCAUCCCUACUACCUUUUCCAAGAGCCAAAGUGAGAGGAGAGAGGAAGAGUCUAAGCUCUGUGAUAAAGGAAUUGUGGUGUCCUUCUCAUUAAAGUUACUUGUUCUUAUCAGUGGGCCGCAGCGACUUUUUCUCUUUUCUUGCUUUUCCCAUUUCUUGUCUUGGAUGAAUUGGCAAUUUGAAUUUCUUUUUUUAAAAAAAGAAUAAAUUUGACAGGCCGCCUUAGUUGUUGUUUCAGUCUGCUCGAGCCUAGUUUGAUAAUGCGAUGGCUAAAAAUUUAAAAAAAAAAAAACUUAGAAAGUGCUUUUUCUUAAUGCUUCUCCGGAGAAGCAUAUGGUUACAUACUUUUCUGGUAACGAUUGCAACCAUAAUUUUAUUAUAUAAAUUUAGAAAAAAAAUUGCAUCAGAAAAGGAAUGGAAAUAAGAAUUUGAAAACGGAAGGUUUAAAAGUCCAAUUUGUUUGGUUAAGAAUCGGAAUAAUAUUCCAAUUUAAAUUUAAAAAUUAUAGAUUUUAAUUAAACUUUGGACGUAAUUAAAUUUUGAACCCAAAUUCUUCCAACUGAUAAUUUGAACUAAAAUUUUAAAUUUAUAAUUCAAAUUCAAAUUCAAAAUAAAAUUCUAAAUUUGAAAUCAAAAUUUAAAUAUCGAACUCAUAUUAGAAUUUCAAUUUAUAAACUUAAAGAAGAAAAGGCUAGGACAGAUAUGGAAUUUAACACCGUCAGAUCCCCGAUCCGUAGGAGCAGUGGAUGAUUAAUAAAGAGCCCCAUUCCAUUGCUGGAAUGCUGGUACCACCAUACCAUUUGCUGCUGCUGCUGCUGCUUCCUUGGGAUCUACAACCAUAAAGGACAGCACUACGUACUUAACCGUUGCAUGAAUGAGAUAUCAUAAUUACCGUAUACCAUAUUUUAUGUUUUAUUGCUCUGGCAGAAAAGUUUUUUUUUUUUUUUUUUUCUUUUUCGGGAGAUGUUUUCGUUGGCUGAGAGUGAAACACCCAAAGUAGUAGAAUUUUCAGAAAGUAAAACUUUAUCGCUUAUUUGGUCUGCAAAAGUAAAUAUAAAUUGCACUUUACAAAAGUGGGUUAGCAAGACAGUGGCGAGAGAGGAGAGAGGAGAGAGAAUGAACGGAGGAGGAGAAGUGAGCGGAGGAGGAGAAGAGAGCAGGUGGAAGAAAAAGAGAGGGAGGUGAUGAGGGAACGAGGAAAAGAAAAGAUAACAAAAUUUUAAAGUAAAAGAUAAAAUUUUAAAUUAAAAUUUAGGCUAAAUUACAGAAACCCUUUGUAAAUAUCGACUUUUUUAUUUUUCCUUCUUGACUUUUAAAAAUUUAUAGGAAGAAAAAGUGAAAAAAUCGGUAUUUAUAAGAGAGUAUUUUGUAAUUUAGCCUAGCUUUACGGCUGCGUCAUUAAUUCAUCAACCGUACUUUUGGGUACAUUUUUGAGGUGCCCAUGACACAACUUCGAGGGAGACAAUAUGUAAGGUGGGGAUAAUAUUGUUUGUGACAUGGUCCAAAAUACAUUUAUUGUACUUUAUAUCAUUAUUAUUGUUGUUAAAAUAUAUAGUAAUGUUACUCGUGCACUCUAUUCAUAAAUAUAAAGUUUACACCUGUAGGAUAUUUAUGACUCUUAUUAAUUUAUUUAUUUUAUCAAUUUUUUAGGCCGAAUACAGAAAAUUUUUCUAUAAAUAUUUGCUUUUUCACUUUCUUUCCUGAUUUUCAAAACUCUAUAUUUUACUCCCUCAAAAUUUUUGAUUGAUGCAUUUAGCGACCCUCCAUCAUUGUUCCGUCACUUUUUCAUCAAUUUAUUUAUAAUAUAUAUUGAAAAUGUUCUUGAAAAUAUCAGAAAUAUAUUAUUAUUUUUUUAUAGAACUAGUAACGAAUAAUUUGUACAACUUUCUAUUAACGCCAUGACCUGUUGAAAAUAAUUCUAAAAUUUUAAAGACGUAAAAUGUAGGUUUUUCAAAGUUAGGACAGAAAGUGAAAAAGCAAAUAUUUAUACGUGAGUUUUUGUAUUUUAGCCCCCUUUUUUUUUUUUUCUAUUUUACUAAAACUAAAUGGGGUUUGUUAACUCUUGGAUCACUUGCAUAUAAGAUAUACACUCAUAUACGACGAUAGGAGCAUUUUUCUAAAGGGUUAUAUAAUUAUAACCGCAUGUAUAGAGUUCAACCAGGAUACUAUUAAUAAAACAUGAAUAGUAGUUAUUACCCAGUUUUUUUUUACUUUUGGAUCAUUACUAUUGCACCAAUCACCCACUAAACUCUAGUGCUAGGAGCCGAAUUCCCUGAUCCUUAACCUGGUCAAAGAUCUCCCUCGGAAAGAGUGUAGGGAUGUGGAACGGCUAUGAACAGUGACCCUCAAAGUUUGCACCCUUUGACUGAUCAAGCGAUUCGACUGAUGAGGGAUUAGAUCAGCCCAGUUCGAAGAUCUUUACUGUAGAUUUGGUUCAGCUGAAAGAGCCGAAUGUUCGAAAAGCACAGUAUUUUAGGUUAGCUGAAGAGUCGAAUGCCUUUAUAUAUUAGAAAUAAUAUGUGAAACUAGUACAAAGGACGAGUGUGCCUGAGAGCAUACAAACUCGGUUGAUCUAACUUGAACUUACUCAUAGGAAAAACAGUAAAUGCGAAAAAAAGAGAAGAUUAUAUGUAGACUACUCCUAGAAAAACGAUAAAUGCAAAAAGUAAAAAUAUUGAAAAUGCGGUGGUUUUCUCGUUCAUGGAGAGAAAGAGCUCUAUUAUAGGCUUCGAAGUUACUAUUUAUAAUGAUGUCUUCUCAGCCCACAUUAUUGGUCGAUUGUUAGUAGUAAGGGAGUGGUGUAACCAUAGUCGUGGAAGUUACGCCCCACUUCUCAAUAUAGAGCUGCUAGAAGAAUUAGUAAAGUAAAAAAAACCGAGUUCCAUAUACAUACACUGAAUCCCAGAGUACAAAGCUACUCGCACUGGCGAGUUAAAAGUCUGUAUGUACAUGAACCCAAACUAAAACAUCUACCUGCAGUAGGGGUGCCUCUAGCUCUGCUCCUCGGGUAGGGCUCUAACUCGUGACGCCCUUGCCUAGCUCCUGACGAGCAACAGCAGCAGCCGAAGACGAAGGCUCUGCAAAAACGGGGUAACAACUGGGCGUGAGAACUACUAUAGAAACAAGUAGUCCUCAGUGGGUGCCGCCCUCAACAAUCAUCGGUCCACCCAUUAAGUCUACAGAAGGUAACAAGGCUAGCAGAAAAAGCUGGAAAGAAAUCUACAGCUACAUAUCGCUACACUAGCAUGAUCUACACUAACCAACUAUAGUAAAAGUCACAACUAACUCAAUCUCAUUAGGGACUGUGAACACACCCGUCCCGCCUGUCGGAUCGAACCCGUAUCCUACUCCAGGAAUAGCUGGUGGAGAAAACUCUUUAGGGACUAUGAAUACACCCGUCCCGCCUAAUUAGGUGACACCGUAGCUCAAGAGUAACCGGCGGAGAAAACUCUCUGGAGACUGUGAAUACACCCGUCUCGUCUACUAGAAUACGCCGUAUCUCAAGAGUAAUCGGCGGAGAAAACUCUCUAAAGACUGUGAAUACAUCCGUCUCACCUAAUUAGACUACACCGUACCUCGAGAGUAGUCGGUCCCAGAAAAGGGUCCAACAGGAUGGUUAAGACUCCACUCACGUCACAACCUCACUAAAGGUAGGGAAAAACAUCACUCACUCUCUCACCCGGGCUGCCCAAAACGGACCCACUCUGCCUGUAUCUAGCUGCGCCGUACACCACCCCGAGGGUAGCCGGCUCAAGAACUGUCCAACAGAAACUGCGACACUCAUCGCACUGAAACCUCAUUCCGGAAUGGCAUUCGCGGGCGCGACCCAACGAGUUUACAAGUAUCUCUGUCAAGUUCAUACCGCUCUCACAGGCUAAGUCAAGUAACCGACUCUAACUGGUCUAACAACCAACAGGUAAUGUGCCAUCGGCACAAUCUAACGCCGAAAAGGCGAUACGAGUCCACCGUCCACUCCGACGGCACCGAACAGUCCGGAACAACCUGAACGCUACUGUAAAAAUACACUCGGCAUCCCAGCAUGAGUGUAACUGAAAAUUAAACUACCUGGAAUACUCACUAUGAGGAUACUGCAACAGUAUAAAAUAAUACAACGACCCCUAGGCUAAAUCAGGUAGUUUCAUAUAUGUCAGGUCCCGAACGCGGGUUUUCUCCUAUGUCAAAUUCAGGUCCAACAUGUAUAAUUUAUUUAUUAAAAAUAGGCUCCAAUUUCAGUUUAGAUGAAAACAACAUUUACAAAUAUGAAACUGAGCUAAAACAAUAGUAAUGUGUAAUACUAACUAUACAUGUCGACCAACAAGACUAUACGAGUAGGAAUCCGAUGAUAAACCCACCUCAAAAGCUAAUUCAGAAUAGCGAGAAGUCGAUAGGAGAAGAAAUCUCCGUGCUCGCUCGGCCUCCAACGACACUACCACGACAUACGCACGCUCCAACGGCUCGCCGGCGCGAAGUUGACGUCGCUCCAAGCUCAAUGUGGCCUCCACGAGCUCUCCACUUCAAUCUAGAGAGAGAGAGAGGAAAUUGCAAAUCAUAAUUAUCCCUUUCUGCCUCUCAAAGCUAUAUAGGCCACAAGAUAAGAAUGCAUGGGGGUGCACGUGGCAUCCAAAGCCACCCCCAUGCAUCACCAACCGACUAUAUAUAUAUAUAAAAUAAAAAGGAUACUACAUCCUCCCCCACUAAAAAAAGUUUCGUUCCCGAAACUUAAAACAUACCUCAACACGGAGUAAUUUUUUUGCACCAACACCUAAGUAUUCAAUAGUCAAAAAAUAGAUAAUAAUUACCAUUCACACACACACACACACACACACACACACACAUAUAUAUAUAUAAAACUAGGUUGGAAUCCUAUUAAUAGCAUCAAGCUAUUGGUGUUAUUAGUUUUUUGGGAUAUUGCCUAUAUACUUCUCAUACGUUUGAAAAUAUCCGAUUUACCCAUAUUUUUUUUUUUCUUUCUAAAAUACUCCUCAUAUGUUCCACCGUUAUUGCAAAAUACCCCCGCAGUUAUCUCCUGUUAAGUUAACUUGGGUUAAACGUGAGUUAAAUAUCUACCACAGUUUAAAAAAAUUAAAAUACCAAUUUUGCCCUUAACUUAAGAGCAAAUAAGAAAUAUUGGUAACGGUAGAGGGGUAUAUUGGAAAAGACCAAAAGUUAAAAUACUUUUUGUACCCCUGACUUUAAGGGCAAAUAAGAAAAUCAGUGAUGAUGGAAGGGUAUAUUUGAAAGGGCAAAAUAGUAAUUUUAUAGAGAUAAUAGAGUUAAUUAACAGAUUUUAACUCUAGGAGUAUAUUAGAAAUAGGUUGGAACGUAGAAAGGAUAUUUUCAAUAUUAGCCUUCUAAGAGGGAUAAAUCGAAAAGUCGAAAACUUUUCAGGAAUAUAUAAGCAAUUGCCCGCAGUUUUUUAGCCUUUGGAUUGAGAAAUAUGCGGUUAGAAUGAUGUGGGCCCCCUAGGGUUGAGUGGGUGGUUGGUUGAAUAGUAUAAUCUAAUGGGUAAAAAUAAUCAAAUGGUUAAAUCUAAUGGUGGAAAAUUCGAUAGCACCAAAUCCUUAGUGCUAUCUAUAAUAUCCUAGCCGAACUCUCUCUCUCUCUCUCUCUCUCUCUCUUUCUCUCUCUCUCUCUCUCUCUCUCUAUAUAUAUAUAUAUAUAUAUAUAUAUAUAUAUAUAGNAAAAAAAUUAGGGUUUAUAUAUUUUUACCUUAGUUUCAUUAAUAAAAUUUUUCAUAUAUAUAUAUAUAUAUAUAUAUAUAUAUAUAUAUAUAUAGCUAAGCUGGUAUACUAUCGGUAGCACGGAGCCCUCCGUACUACCAAAUUGUUUUCAAUGAUGUAGCUUCCAAAUCGACGAUUGGCUCCGUUAGACUUGAUCUACACUAUUAAAAGUAUUUGAAAACUAAAUUUCAUAAUUUUUCGACAUUAUUUGGAUAGUGAUCAAAAUGUCUCAAAAUUCACAAUUUUAAUGGUCGAUGUUAUGCGUUGAUGAAUUUUUUAUAGAAUUUUUUUUUCACUAUUUAGAGUAAAAUCAGUAUCUCUGAUCUUAAAUUCAAGUCUUUUAUAUCAUUUUUUAUGAAAUUUUAUUUUUAGCCGUUCAUUUUUAGACUAUUCGUUUGAUAGGUAAAUGAUGGCUCAUUUAAUAUAUUUGACGAAAAUAAUACAAAUAACAACUAAAAAUAAAUCUGUAGUAUAUAUAUAGGUUGUUAAGCAAUCAGAAGUUGUAGGGUGAGGGAAAAAAAAAGUCAAAGUUGUUGGAUUAAAUGAGCCAGCAUCUUACCUGUGGCGUAGGUUAGAUUCGAUUGAGUCACAAUUGGAACCCGCGAGUGCUGUG